rnacentral:rRNA from 1 species
AACGCGAAGAACCUUACCUGGGCUUGAACCGCACAGGACCCUCCCUAGAAAUAGGGACUUCCCGCAAGGGACCUGUGUAGAGGUGCUGCAUGGCUGUCGUCAGCUCGUGCCGUGAGGUGUUGGGUUAAGUCCCGCAACGAGCGCAACCCUUACUCAUAGUUGCUACCCGCAAGGGAGAACUCUAUGAGGACUGCUCCGGAUAACGGAGAGGAAGGUGGGGAUGAGGUCAAGUCAGCAUGGCCUUUAUGUCCAGGGCUACACACGUGUUACAAUGCGCGCUACAAAGUGUCGCGAACCCGCGAGGGGGAGCUAAUCGCAAAAAAGCGCGCUCAGUUCGGAUUGCAGUCUGCAACUCGACUGCAUGAAGCCGGAAUCGCUAGUAAUGGCGUAUCAGAUCGACGCCGUGAAUACGUUCCCGGGCCUUGUACACACCGAGACGAC